CAACCCUGCAGCCCAUCAGCAUCUCUGCUCAGGGAAUCGAGAUCUGCAGCAUCUAAUGGUUUGCCCAUCAUCCAAGGAGCCCAGGAAUUAAGUUUCACAACCCUCUUUACAGACAGAGAAAUGGAGGCUGCGAGAGGCGGAAGUGACUUACUUAAGGUCACACAGCGAGUCAAGGCAGAGGCUAGGAAGAGAACCCAGGAAUCCUAGUCCCCAGUCCCUUCACUAGCAGACAGCUCUUAUAACAUUGCGCCGUGACAGAUGGGAAGAUUCCACCCUACUCGGUUACUCACCUGCGCAGGUGCCUCAACACGGGCCUUUCCUAACAGCCUCACUCAUCAGAAAGAUACAGCUAACCCAGCUUACAACCAUCUCAGACCAAGUGGAGCCCCAUUUAUUCUGACCAAAGCUAAGCCACUUCCCCUCUCUGUGCCUCCAUUUCCCCCCAUCUGCGAAAUGGGAACAAUACUCUUCGAUCGCUGUAAGGCGCUUUGAACUCUGUGGAGGAAAAGCAACUAUGUUACAGGCCUCUAGUUAGAGGGACACCUCUGCAGACACUAACAAACGGCUUCUCAACAGUGAUCGGGACCAGAAAAGGACCGAAGCUAAACAUAUGCCUGCCUGAAGAUUUUGUACCUGCUAUUUUUUUUUAAACAAGCCAGACUUAAGAUCACGGUAAGGCCCUAGGAAGGAGAAGACAUACUAAAGGAAACUCUCACAGACUUCACAUUUAAAGGUAAUUCUUGUGAAGUUGGAUUAUGAAGAGACUCCCUGCUUAAAGAACUACCUUGAAAUUCCAGUAUGGACAGGCCAAACAGCAGCAACGCAAAUCAAGAUCCUCCUGCGUCAGGGUUUCAGCCAGACACCUGCCAGUGGCAGGAAAGGAUUCCCCCCGCCCCCUACGAUAUACUCUGGGAGGAUUUCUUUGUCAUGUCCUUUCUCUGAAGCAUCUGGAGAUGGCAACGGCUGGAGAUGGGACAUUGUACGCCUAUCCUAGACUCUGACUUCCUGGUGUCCGAGCUGGCCUGAUUCCUGCUUUGACCAGACGACCCAUGUCCUGCUCGUGACAGCGUCUUCCAAACGAUUUUUCUUAGUAUUCGAGCAAGUUUUGAUUCCUGGGGGAAGACAUAAUUUAUGCAAGAUUCACUGUAGAGGCAGCUGUGUGAACAGCACAGGAGAGUAUUCUGGAGUCAGAGUUGCUCCCUGGGACCCUGGCAUUGGUGUUGGCCUGAGAGACCAGGCAGAAGUGAUGUCUCUGCAUGCUGUUUGACCAUCUCUAUCCCAGGACUUUUGCGUGUGCGUGAUCAAAUACACAAAUUCUUCUUCUAA